AGCAGCCGCGGUAAUUCCAGCUCCAAUAGCGUAUAUUAAAGUUGUUGCAGUUAAAAAGCUCGUAGUUGAAUUUCGGGAUUUAUCCGUUGGUCGGGCUUUUUGGUCUGUACUGGCGUGAUGGAUUCCUACCUUCUGAAUAACCGGCAUGCCAUUAAUUUGGUGCGCCGGGGAAGCAGGACUGUUACCUUGAAAAAAUUAGAGUGCUUAAAGCAGGCUUAUGCCUGAAUACAUUAGCAUGGAAUAAUGAAAUAGGACGCAUGGUUCUAUUUUGUUGGUUUCUAGGAUCACCGUAAUGAUUAAUAGGGAUAGUUGGGGGCAUUAGUAUUCAAUUGUCAGAGGUGAAAUUCUUGGAUUUAUUGAAGACUAACUUCUGCGAAAGCAUUUGCCAAGGAUGUUUUCAUUAAUCAAGAACGAAAGUUAGGGGAUCGAAGACGAUCAGAUACCGUCGUAGUCUUAACCAUAAACUAUGCCGACUAGGGAUCGGACGAUGUUAAUUUUUUAAUGACUCGUUCUU
rnacentral:rRNA from 1 species